UACGAAGGGUGCAAGCGUUACUCGGAAUUACUGGGCGUAAAGCGUGCGUAGGUGGUUCGUUAAGUCUGAUGUGAAAGCCCUGGGCUCAACCUGGGAAUGGCAUUGGAUACUGGCGACCUAGAGUGCGGUAGAGGGGUGUGGAAUUCCCGGUGUAGCAGUGAAAUGCGUAGAUAUCGGGAGGAACACCAGUGGCGAAGGCGACUACCUGGCCCAUUCUUGACGCUGAGGCGCGAAAGCUAGGGAGCGAACGGG
rnacentral:rRNA from 1 species